rnacentral:rRNA from 1 species
GAUGAACGCUGGCGGCGUGCCUAAUACAUGCAAGUCGAGCGAACAGACGAGGAGCUUGCUCCUCUGACGUUAGCGGCGGACGGGUGAGUAACACGUGGAUAACCUACCUAUAAGACUGGGAUAACUUCGGGAAACCGGAGCUAAUACCGGAUAAUAUAUUGAACCGCAUGGUUCAAUAGUGAAAGACGGUUUUGCUGGCACUUAUAGAUGGAUCCGCGCCGCAUUAGCUAGUUGGUAAGGUAACGGCUUACCAAGGCAACGAUGCGUAGCCGACCUGAGAGGGUGAUCGGCCACCCUGGAACUGAGACACGGUCCAGACUCCUACGGGAGGCAGCAGUAGGGAAUCUUCCGCAAUGGGCGAAAGCUUGACGGAGCAACGCCGCGUGAGUGAUGAAGGUCUUCGGAUCGUAAAACUCUGUUAUUAGGGAAGAACAAAUGUGUAAGUAACUAUGCACGUCUUGACGGUACCUAAUCAGAAAGCCACGGCUAACUACGUG